GAUAAGCUGCACUGGGCUUGCUCUGCACAGCCCCUGGCCACUGCUCAGGCUGAGGUCUUGGACGCAGUCCGCUGGCAGGCCUCCUGCCAGGGGAUUUGUUGCUGUGAGAGCUUGGCUUAGGCAGGGCUUUAUUACAAAAAUUGUCUCGAUUCUUCCGUCUUAUUAAAAUCUAUCCCACCCUUCCCCGCCACCCCAGGAGGAGGAAUAUUCUGUAUAUAUCUGGACGAAACACACAAACGAAUUCAUUUCCCACGGAUAAUAUAUUCAGGGUGAUUUGCUUUUCAGAGUCGGGAGCUCAAAAUGAUGAAUUUAUUAUGCAAAGUAAUAAUUGCAAAUUAUAUUGGCAAACUCCAUUCCAGAAAAAAAAAUGGGGGGGAGGGGUUGGUAUUAAUAUAACUAAAAGGAUUAAAAAAUACUGGCUGUUAACUUGGGGCUACUGCAGAUAUUUUAGGAGGUUAUAUAUCUCUGUUCCACCUAAACCACCAGAGGCAGUAGCUUUCAUUUUAAAGGUCUAGUGAGAUACCGUAAUUAAUGGGCCCACCUAACAGCAUAUGUCGCACUUGUAUUGAGUGGUAGGACAUGGUGUAUAUAAUGAAAGAAAGUGAAGGAAAUGCUUAGCGUCAAAAAUUAGCAUUUCUUUUUAGUUCAUUUUUUAGUGCAAAGGAAUGAAAUACAUCAGAGUCAAAGCACAAAAGCAAUGGACUCCAGCUUUUGGGUCGGCUCAGCCUGUGCCUUCAGCAGGGUAACUGCAUGGUGUAUGAUGAUUUUCCAGAUCCUUCUGGGAUCCUAAAGGCUGCAAUUACAGUCCCUUGGAGCCAAGUGGUGCUUCCUAAAGGCUGGAGCAGCGGGUGAACCUGAGGGCAGGGGGCUCUUCCACCUUGUAGCUGCCCGCAGGCUCCCUCACCGAUUUGGUCCUUUGUGGUCAGCAGCAGAAAGGGGCCCUAGCAGUUGUCAGGGUUGAUGUCUCUGACAUAGCACUUGUUAGCCACAUGGGAUUUGUUCUGCUGGAUCUGUACAUUAUGUCAGGAUUCUCAAAGGAUUAAUUUACAAUCAUGGUCUUCUUCAUGAAAAGCACAUCUCUCUGCUGCUAUAGAAUCAUUUUCAUCUCUGGCACACAUGUCCCAUUAGGAAGUACUAACUGAGUGGUUGAUUAUAUUUUCUGGGAUAGUUGAGAUUUGUGGGUAAUUAUGAGAAAAAUAAAUAUAAUGUGCUUGUAAACCUUGCAAGUAAUAGUUGCAGUACUAAUGCCGUAAUUCAUGGGCAUUGCACCAUUGGAAAGUGAUGGAGCUUGUUAAAUUAAAAUGCUGGUGAUGUUUUUAACAUACUUUCAUGAAAGCAUGAUGAUCUGAGUGCAAAGUGGGAUUCAGGUGCUCCACAAGUUGCCGUUCUGGCUCUGGCACACUCUCUGGCUGCGCACUUGAGACAGUCCUCAGAUGAGGGUGAUAGCUAUUUAGCAUUUGCAAGGGACUUUGAAGACAUGGGAGCUGUGGGAGUUUACACACCAUGGCAAACUGAGAACAAACUGUCUAACACUUAUUUCCUCACAUCUUUUCUUCUAACGUGCCUUACCAACAGCCAUUUAUGAAAAGAGUGUUCCACCUUGUGGAAAAGGAGUCACUGGAGGAAAAGAGGGGCAGUGGAGAUGUUUAACGUGUAAACACUGAGCUUAUGAUCAACAGUGUCUUCAUUGAACAACAAAUUUGUGUUUUGCUUUUCAAGCAGAGCAACUGAGACCAUUCGGUUCACAGAUUAUUACACGGACCCCAAGACCAGCAUGCCUUAGGACUGACCAAGAGGAGCAGUCUGCAGCCUCCAGCCUUGCCCACUUCACCCAGCCUGCAGUAUCCGUAGCAAGAGCAAAGGUGACUGUUAGCCUGACUUUUGGCCUUUCUGAGUGUGAUGACAAAGCUAUUGGCAACCAGUACAAAACUCAAUGGGCACAGCUUUAAAACUGAGCUUCUUUUGCCUGUAAAGUGAAGGACAGCUGAUACAACUACUUCUGAAUUCAGACAGCAAGGGCUAAGUAUCUCACCACAGAAACAUCGCUGAAGAAAAGAUGUUCAGCACCCUUCAUGGAGAAUGGUGGCAGAGAAAGACAAGGGACUUCCUCUCUGCUGCCAUUUAAAUGCAACUCAAGAGAAGGCCAUAACUGCUUCAGUACAAAUCCAGGAGAUGCUGAACAGCCAAUGGCUCUUACAUGCCUGCCUAGAUGACACCAAACAUCAGAGCUACUGAAGACGAGACCUUCCAUGAACAUUUAAAUUGGAGAAUCCUGACGGCUGCUCUGAGUUAUAAGACUUGCCAGCGUUCUCAAGAGGUUUUAUUCUCUCUGCUGUUUGUGAAGUGAAAGUCACGCAAGGAAAGUAUCUUGUGUCAGUCACGGGUCUGGGAUUCCUUUGUUGCUGGCAUUUACUUAAACUUUUAUACUGUUUUAAUAUUUCACAACUAACAUGUGAAAAGGACAAUAACAAUUAAAUUAAAGCAAAUAAACUGGUUGGUUUUAGAUGUA